AUUUAGCUUCGAGCAAACCUCUCUUAUCUUAGGGAAAAUCAAGCAUGGAUAUCAUACAGAGUCAAGACAAAAUGGCAGAGCACAGGGGAUAACAUCAUCUCUAGGAAUCACCUCCUCAAGGAGCUUAAGUCCGCUACCUCGGAGACCAGCCCCGUGGUGCACAUAGCGAGGAGAGCUUUCUCAGAAAGAAAUGCAUGCCCCUGUUCACUCAGGUCCCAGAUAGGAUCGAACAGGAGGUGGCACUUGGCAUGAAGUCCAAGAAGAAACAGACAACAGUCUCAGCUCUGCCCCAGGGAAGAUGCCUAAACGUCAGGCCACCGGGGGCUCUCCAGCAGAGACCACCCAGAGGAGCCAGCUCAGGGCAUCAGGACAACUCCCAUCAACCUGACCAUACACCGACCAAGCUGUCUGACCUUGUCAUAUAAUUCUGAUUCUCAAAGUAUGCUUUUCCACUGAGAAGAGGUGUGGAUUUACUGACUUCUAUUAUUCAUAACUGCUCACAAGUGACAGAGAUAAGUGGCAGGUAUGUAGCCGAGAAAAUGCUGAUUCUGUCUAUUGCGUCAUCACCUCAAUUGCCUUUACACCAGCUACCAGGUAGCUGAGCAAAUUUAUGGAAAAGGAUUCAAGUGAAUGACCUACGUUUUUUUUUGAACAGACACAGCACCGUAAUUCUAAAUGACUUUGCAACUCUGACCUUGAAAGCUGGAGGAUUAAGAGACCAGUUCCUUUUUCUGUGCCAGCAUUUUAUUCUUUUUCCAAGCCCAUGGUAAGAGUCACUCAGGAUGCUUCCUAACUUGGGUAGCCCACGUCUCGGGAAGAAGGUGCUUUUUGAAGCGUAUUUACCCGGAAGCCCCUCUUAGCCCAGCAGCGACUCGGCUGGGACCCAAUCCAGCACAGCAGGUAAGUAACGUGGGCUAUGUCAGGCUAUGUUAUCAGUUUCACUCUGCCAUUUCCCCGCCCCCAGUCUUUGCUAUAUCACGUUUUCUCUCUUCACUGGGGCCACUUUACUAGAAUACCAAAUUAGACCAGCCUGCUCGGGCUCAGCCGGCUUGUGGGACGGGGGCGGUGACAGAUGCGGCGCGCACCACCUUCAACAGGACAGGGAGGGGCUCUCCAGGGAGCCGGGGUCCCCUGGCCUCCUGCCGGCUGUGCGUGGGGUGUCCGGGUCGGGGGCGCGGGGCGCACGGGCGGCGACGGGCCCGGCAUCACGUACGCGCGCGGGGCAGGCGGGGCUGCGGCCACAGCUCCCCACCUGCAGCGCCCCCCUCCCGGCCCGCCCCUCUCAAGGGCGAAGAGGUCACCAGCAGCGUGGGCGGAGGCUAGGGCGCCGGCCAGCCACUUAAGCAUCCCUGCACCGCGCGUGGUGAGAUGAGAAAAGAUACAAAUACCUGCCAUGAACAAGGCCAGACUUCUGAUCUCUAUCCUGGACCAGAAGUGAUGGAGCAACUUCUAAACCCCCCGUGGUCAUUGGAAUCACCUGGCCUGGUUUUUCCCGCUCCACCAGAACCGCAGAAGCCCAGUUUCUGGGAAUGCUGCUUGAAAAGAUGUAUUUUCAACAAGUCACAGCACAUUCUGAUGACUGCAGAGUCUGAGGGCACCUGCUCCGCAGAGUGAAACUGAGCAGCGAUACUGAGAAGAUAUUGGGCAUCGGGAGGCUGCCCUUAACUGUCCUGGCCCGGGAGCCAGGUUCAUGUUUCUCCAGCCAAAGGUUUUCCCUCUCCAGGAUUUGUGCUCCAGAAUCAUCCACCCCUUUCUGGAGCAUUCUGCACUUUGAAUUUUAGCCCCAAAGUCUUUAUAUUCUUAUAAAAUUGACAUUUUUGUAAUUUA